GAGGUUAUAGCUCAGUGGUAGAGCACAUGCUUAGCAUGCAUGAGGUCCUGGGUUCAAUCCCUGGUCCCUCC
rnacentral:tRNA from 1 species